rnacentral:rRNA from 1 species
AUGGAGAGUUUGAUCCUGGCUCAGGACGAACGCUGGCGGCGUGCCUAACACAUGCAAGUCGAACGGCCCGCCCCAUCGGAUUCCUUCGGGGAGAAGAUGGGUUCCCGGGCAGUGGCGGACGGGUGAGUAACGCGUGGAGAACCUGUCUCUCAGUUGGGGAUAACCUGGCGAAAGUCGGGCUAAUCCCGAAUACGCUCUCAAGGUGGCAUCACUUUGGGAGGAAAGGUGCUUUCGGGCAUCGCUGAGAGGUGGCUCCGCGUCGGAUUAGCUAGCUGGUGGGGUAACGGCUCACCAGGGCGACGAUCCGUAGCUGGUCUGAGAGGAUGAUCAGCCACACUGGGACUGAGACACGGCCCAGACUCCUACGGGAGGCAGCAGUGGGGAAUCUUCCGCAAUGGGCGAAAGCCUGACGGAGCAACGCCGCGUGAACGAAGAAGGCCUUCGGGUCGUAAAGUUCUGUCCUCAGGGAAGAACCCUCAUGGGAGGAAAUGCCCAUGAGCUGACGGUACCUGGGAAGGAAGCCCUGGCUAACUACGUGCCAGCAGCCGCGGUAAUACGUAGAGGGCAAGCGUUGUCCGGAAUUACUGGGCGUAAAGGGUACGCAGGCGGAUAUAUAAGUCAAAUGUGUAAAGGCACCGGCUCAACCGGUGAGCGGCAUUUGAAACUGUAUAUCUUGAGUUCAGGAGAGGAGAGCGGAAUUCCUGGUGUAGCGGUGGAAUGCGUAGAUAUCAGGAAGAACACCAGUGGCGAAGGCGGCUCUCUGGCCUGAAACUGACGCUCAGGUACGAAAGCUGGGGGAGCGAACGGGAUUAGAUACCCCGGUAGUCCCAGCCGUAAACGAUGGACACUAGGUGUUGGGGGUUCGAAUCCUUCAGUGCCGAAGCAAACGCAUUAAGUGUCCCGCCUGGGGAGUACGGUCGCAAGACUGAAACUCAAAGGAAUUGAC